rnacentral:sRNA from 1 species
AAAAAAAAUGGGCGCAACGCCCAUUUUUUUCCUUUUUCAACCGAGGUCGCACCCGGGCAACGAAAGAAAAAAACUACGUGCCCAACGACUCCGUAAUUUUAGCCGUUU